rnacentral:rRNA from 1 species
GGUUAAGUUAGAAAGGGCGCACGGUGGAUGCCUUGGCACUAGGAGCCGAAGAAGGACGGGACUAACACCGAUAUGCUUUGGGGAGCUGUACGUAAGCGUUGAUCCAGAGAUUUCCGAAUGGGGGAACCCACUAUCUUUAGUCGGAUAGUAUCCUUACGUGAAUACAUAGCGUGAGGAAGGCAGACCCAGGGAACUGAAACAUCUAAGUACCUGGAGGAAGAGAAAGAAAAAUCGAUUUCCUGAGUAGCGGCGAGCGAAACGGAAAGAGCCCAAACCAAGAAGCUUGCUUCUUGGGGUUGUAGGACACUCUAUACGGAGUUACAAAAGAAAGUUAUAAAUGAAGCGGUCUGGAAAGGCCCGCCAAAGACGGUAACAGCCCGGUAGUUGAAAUGGCUUUCCCUCCAGAGUGGAUCCUGAGUACGGCGGAACACGUGAAAUUCCGUCGGAAUCCGGGAGGACCAUCUCCCAAGGCUAAAUACUCCCUAGUGACCGAUAGUGAACCAGUACCGUGAGGGAAAGGUGAAAAGCACCCCGGAAGGGGAGUGAAACAGUUCCUGAAACCGUGUGCCUACAAGUAGUUAGAGCCCGUUAAUGGGUGAUAGCGUGCCUUUUGUAGAAUGAACCGGCGAGUUACGAUUUGUUGCAAGGUUAAGCGGAAAAAGCGGAGCCGUAGCGAAAGCGAGUCUGAAUAGGGCGCAUAAGUAACAGGUCGUAGACCCGAAACCAGGUGAUCUACCCAUGUCCAGGAUGAAGGUAAGGUAAUACUUACUGGAGGUCCGAACCCACGCACGUUGAAAAGUGCGGGGAUGAGGUGUGGGUAGCGGAGAAAUUCCAAUCGAACUUGGAGAUAGCUGGUUCUCUCCGAAAUAGCUUUAGGGCUAGCCUCGAGGUAAAGAGUCAUGGAGGUAGAGCACUGUUUGGACUAGGGGCCCUUCUCGGGUUACCGAAUUCAGAUAAACUCCGAAUGCCAUGUACUUAUACUCGGGAGUCAGACUGCGAGUGAUAAGAUCCGUAGUCGAAAGGGAAACAGCCCAGACCACCAGUUAAGGUCCCCAAAUAUAUGUUAAGUGGAAAAGGAUGUGGGGUUGCUUAGACAACCAGGAUGUUGGCUUAGAAGCAGCCACCAUUGAAAGAGUGCGUAAUAGCUCACUGGUCGAGUGACCCCGCGCCGAAAAUGUACCGGGGCUAAACAUAUUACCGAAACUGUGGAUGAACCUCUUUAGAGGUUCGUGGUAGGAGAGCGUUCUAAGGGCGGUGAAGUCAGACCGGAAGGACUGGUGGAGCGCUUAGAAGUGAGAAUGCCGGUAUGAGUAGCGAAAGAAGGGUGAGAAUCCCUUCCACCGAAUAUCUAAGGUUUCCUGAGGAAGGCUCGUCCGCUCAGGGUUAGUCGGGACCUAAGCCGAGGCCGAUAGGCGUAGGCGAUGGACAACAGGUAGAGAUUCCUGUACCAGUGCUAAUUGUUUAACCGAUGGGGUGACACAGAAGGAUAGGGAAUCGCACGAAUGGAAAUGUGCGUCCAAGCAGUGAGUGUGAGAAGUAGGCAAAUCCGCUUCUCGNNNNNNNNNNNNNNNNNNNNNNNNNNNNNNNNNNNNNNNNNNNNNNNNNNNNNNNNNNNNNNNNNNNNNNNNNNNNNNNNNNNNNNNNNNNNNNNNNNUCGAAGCAUGAGCUGUGAUGGGGAAGGAAAUUAAGUACGGAAGUUCCUGAUUUCACGCUGUCAAGAAAAGCCUCUAGGAAGAGUAGUACUGCCCGUACCGCAAACCGACACAGGUAGAUGAGGAGAGAAUCCUAAGGUGAGCGAGAGAACUCUCGUUAAGGAACUCGGCAAAAUGACCCCGUAACUUCGGGAGAAGGGGUGCUCUAUUAGGGUGCAAGCCCGAGAGAGCCGCAGUGAAUAGGCCCAGGCGACUGUUUAGCAAAAACACAGGUCUCUGCAAAACCGUAAGGUGACGUAUAGGGGCUGACGCCUGCCCGGUGCUGGAAGGUUAAGAGGAGUGCUUAGCUUCGGCGAAGGUACGAAUUGAAGCCCCAGUAAACGGCGGCCGUAACUAUAACGGUCCUAAGGUAGCGAAAUUCCUUGUCGGGUAAGUUCCGACCCGCACGAAAGGCGCAACGAUCUGGGCACUGUCUCAACGAGAGACUCGGUGAAAUUAUAGUACCUGUGAAGAUGCAGGUUACCCGCGACAGGACGGAAAGACCCCGUGGAGCUUUACUGCAACCUGAUAUGGAAUGUUUGUACCGCUUGUACAGGAUAGGUAGGAGCCGAAGAGACGUGUGCGCUAGCAUACGAGGAGGCAAUGGUGGGAUACUACCCUGGCUGUAUGACCAUUCUAACCCGCCACGCUUAGCGCGUGGGGAGACAGUGUCAGGUGGGCAGUUUGACUGGGGCGGUCGCCUCCUAAAGAGUAACGGAGGCGCCCAAAGGUUCCCUCAGAAUGGAUGGAAAUCAUUCGCAGAGUGUAAAGGCACAAGGGAGCUUGACUGCGAGACUGACAAGUCGAGCAGGGACGAAAGUCGGGCUUAGUGAUCCGGUGGUUCCGCAUGGAAGGGCCAUCGCUCAACGGAUAAAAGCUACCCCGGGGAUAACAGGCUUAUCUCCCCCAAGAGUCCACAUCGACGGGGAGGUUUGGCACCUCGAUGUCGGCUCGUCGCAUCCUGGGGCUGUAGUCGGUCCCAAGGGUUGGGCUGUUCGCCCAUUAAAGCGGCACGCGAGCUGGGUUCAGAACGUCGUGAGACAGUUCGGUCCCUAUCCGUCGCGGGCGCAGGAAAUUUGAGAGGAGCUGUCCUUAGUACGAGAGGACCGGGAUGGACACACCGCUGGUGUACCAGUUGUUCCGCCAGGAGCAUCGCUGGGUAGCUAUGUGUGGCAGGGAUAAACGCUGAAAGCAUCUAAGCGUGAAGCCCCCCUCAAGAUGAGAUUUCCCAUUUCUUCGGAAAGUAAGAUCCCUGAAAGAUGAUCAGGUAGAUAGGUUUGGAGUGGAAGUGUAGCGAUACAUGGAGCGGACAAAUACUAAUCGAUCGAGGACUUAACCAA